GAAAGGGCCGCUGAGUUUAGAGGGUCACUUAGCGGGGUGUCGGGCGAGCUCCGUGGUGAGCCAAGGCAAGGAGGCGGAAGGCCUUGUUAUGUUGAAGGGGCGUGAGGCCCUAUGGGCUCGAGGGGAAGGGUAGCAGAUAGCAAAGUGGGGGAAGGGGGAGGAGAGAGAAUGUUGGCCGGGGCUUGGCGCUGGGGAAGAAGGCGGUGGAGGAGGCAGGAAGGAGAGAACGCGAAGGGUGCGGGGCUCUGCCUCGUGGGAUAGGGGAGGUCACUGAAUAUAACGUGCGAAUAAAUAGGUGGAAAGGGCCCGAGUGCGCGCAGUUCUCCGGCCCGAGCGGCGCCGGGAUGUGAGCAGAAGCUUUUUGGCAUAAAUAUUAAAGGUCUCUGAUGGUUGAAACAAUAUUUUGCCAGACAAAGCUGGCUAAGGAAACAGUAAAUUAGAGCAUCUACAGAACUGAUCUUUUAUUGGGAUGUGGCUCCUCCUUGGUUCUCUUCUACGAGAUGCAACUUUCCUGACGUUCCCCUUCUCUUUCACUAUUCAGUCUUACUUUUGCUUCUCCAACUUCUGGAAUCCAGUAGUCAGAAGAAUCUCUUUCAGCCGCAGUUCUGAACCUGUCUCUUUUAUACAAAUUGAUUAGGAUGAGAUCUAGUCUCUCACCUAAUAAUUUUGAUUAAUUCAAGGAAUCACUUCAAAUUCAGUUCUCAUUGUUUGAUUCUAUCAAAAUAUGUAAUUCCUUAGAGCCAAGUGGGAUAGUUUCAC